rnacentral:rRNA from 1 species
UAGGGAAUCUUCGGCAAUGGGGGCAACCCUGACCGAGCAACGCCGCGUGAGUGAAGAAGGUUUUCGGAUCGUAAAGCUCUGUUGUAAGAGAAGAACGUGUGUGAGAGUGGAAAGUUCACACAGUGACGGUAACUUACCAGAAAGGGACGGCUAACUACGUGCCAGCAGCCGCGGUAAUACGUAGGUCCCGAGCGUUGUCCGGAUUUAUUGGGCGUAAAGCGCGCGCAGGCGGUUUAAUAAGUCUGAAGUUAAAGGCAGUGGCUUAACCAUUGUUCGCUUUGGCAACUGUUAAACUUGAGUGCAGAAGGGGAGAGUGGAAUUCCAUGUGUAGCAGUGAAAUGCGUAGAUAUAUGGAGGAACACCGGUGGCGAAAGCGGCUCUCUGGUCUGUAACUGACGCUGAGGCUCGAAAGCGUGGGGAGCAAACAGG